CACGUAGGGCGCGAGCGUUGUCCGGAAUUAUUGGGCGUAAAGAGCUCGUAGGCGGCCUGUUGCGUCCGCUGUGAAAGCCCGGGGCUUAACCCCCGGGGUCUGCAGUGGAUACGGGGCAGGCUAGAGGUAGGUAGGGGAGAAUGGAAUUCCCGGUGUAGCGGUGAAAUGCGCAGAUAUCGGGAGGAACACCGAUGGCGAAGGCAGCUCGCUGGGGACGGUACUG
rnacentral:rRNA from 1 species